rnacentral:rRNA from 1 species
UAGAUGCGAGAGUAGAGCAUAUCAAUAAGCGGAGGAAAAGAAACUAACAUAGGAUUCCCUCAGUAACGGCGAGUGAAGCGGGAAGAGCUCAAAUUUGAAAUCUUCAAGGUUCUACCUUGACGAAUUGUAGUUUAAAGAAGUGUUUUCUGUUGAAGUUUUGGUAAAAGUUCUUUGGAAUAGGACAUCAUAGAGGGUGAGAAUCCCGUAUUUGACCAUUAUUUUCAGCUGUGUGAUACACUUUCAAAGAGUCGGAUUGUUUGGGAAUGCAGUCCAAAAUGGGUGGUAAAUUUCAUCUAAAGCUAAAUAUUGGCGAGAGACCGAUAGCGAACAAGUACCGUGAGGGAAAGAUGAAAAGAACUUUGAAAAGAGAGUUAAACAGUACGUGAAAUUGUCAAAAGGGAAGCGUUUGACACCAGUGUUGUUUUCUCGAAAAUCAAUUAAAAAAGGCCGGAUUUUGUGUUGUAUUGACCAUAAAAGCUUUCUUCACUCUUUUCUUGUCUUUUUUAAUGCACUUUUCGUUUAACAAGUCAACAUCAGUUUCUUUUGUUGUAAAAGGGUCAUUGGAAGGUGGCUUUCUUUUCGGAGAAAGUGUUUAUAGCCUUUGAUCUCUGCAACCGGAGAGACUGAGGUCUGCAGCGUAGACUCUUCGGGGUUAGAUACAUUUGUGCUAAGCUAUAGCUUUUUAUAGACAACUUGUUGACUAUAGUUUAGUCUUGUGGCUUACUCGCUUAUGCUAUUUUACCUACGCUUAGGAUGUUGACGCGCGUGUGUGCGU